rnacentral:rRNA from 1 species
UACGGAGGGUGCAAGCGUUGUUCGGAAUUACUGGGCGUAAAGCGCACGUAGGCGGAUUUGUAAGUCAGAUGUGAAAUCCCCGGGCUUAACCUGGGAACUGCAUUGGUGACUGCAGCGCUGGAGUAUGGCAGAGGGGGGUGGAAUUCCACGUGUAGCAGUGAAAUGCGUAGAGAUGUGGAGGAACACCGAUGGCGAAGGCAGCCCCCCUGGGCCAAUACUGACGCUCAUGCACGAAAGCGUGGGGAGCAAACAGG